UGAGGAAUAUUGCACAAUGGGCGAAAGCCUGAUGCAGCGACGCCGCGUGGAGGAUGAAGGUUUUCGAAUUGUAAACUCCUGUUAAGCAAGAAAAAAGACUCGCUAUGAAUAAGAGCGAGGGAUGAUUGUAUUGCUAAAGAAAGCACUGGCUAACUUCGUGCCAGCAGCCGCGGUAAUACGAGGGGUGCAAACGUUAUUCGGAAUCAUUGGGCGUAAAGGGUGCGUAGACGGCGCUUUAAGUCAAUUAUUAAAUCUUUUGGCCUAACCAAAAGCUUGUGGUUGAGACUGAAGUGCUAGAGGGUGGAAGAGAGAAGUGGAAUUCUCGGAGUAGCGGUAAAAUGCGUAGAUCUCGAGAGGAACACCGAUGGCGAAGGCAGCUUCUUGGUCCAUUUCUGACGUUGAAGUACGAAAGCGUGGGGAGCAAACAGG
rnacentral:rRNA from 1 species